ACUACCUCCAUGUGGAUC
rnacentral:snRNA from 1 species